AUGUGGUACCUUGAUCUUGUCGGGGAAGAACUCAGGGGCGAUGAGCUUCCGCUGGCGUGCCCAGGCGUCGCCGUUGGACUUGAGGAUGCCAUCGCCGAAGAGCGGGUGGUGCGUGACCUUCAUGUAGGUGCUCUUGCCGAGCUCGUCCGGCGAGACGGAGAGGCAAACGUCGCGGACCACGGCCGGGUCGCUCGCGUGCAGGAACACCAUGUUGCCCACGGAGUAGGUGAACACCGGGCCUAG
rnacentral:rRNA from 1 species